GACGAACGCUGGCGGCGUGCUUAACACAUGCAAGUCGAACGGAAAGUCCCUGCUUUUGUGGGGUGCUCGAGUGGCGAACUGGUGAGUAACACGUGAGUAACCUGCCCUUGACUUUGGGAUAACUUCAGGAAACUUGGGCUAAUACCGGAUAUGAUCUCCUGCUUCUUGGUGGGGGUUGCAUAGUUUCGGCGGUUGGGGAUGGACUCGCGGCUUAUCAGCUUGUUGGUGGGGUAGUGGCUUACCAAGGCUUUGACGGGUAGCCGGCCUGAGAGGGUGACCGGCCACAUGGGGACUGAGAUACGGCCCAGACUCCUACGGGAGGCAGCAGUGGGGAAUAUUGCACAAUGGGCGGAAGCCUGAUGCAGCAACGCCGCGUGCGGGAUGACGGCCUUCGGGUUGUAAACCGCUUUCGCCUGUGACGAAGCGUGAGUGACGGUAAUGGGUAAAGAAGCACCGGCUAACUACGUG
rnacentral:rRNA from 1 species